UGCAAAUAGUGGCAAUUAUCUGCACCUCAGUAUUGUAGUACAUUAUAAAACAGUACACAACAAUAACGUAUUGAGUGUAAAUUUUCAUUUU